rnacentral:ncRNA from 1 species
CCCUCCGGCAAAAGUCGGUAGGGACUGCCACCGGUACCUGACACGGCCGGUGCAG